AUACAUGUACAUGUAUAUGUGUUAAGAGUGUACAGUUUUUAAAUAAACAUUUGUUUGAGUGAUAUACAGUUUAACACCACUGAUAUAAAAUAAUACUGUAUAAAAUGACAUGUAUUUUGUGUGUGUUAUAUAGAGAAACAAGGUGACACAUUGCCAUCACUCUAUCAUGUUUUUCAUUCCUUACCUUUUUUAUAUAACAGGAUACCUUGAUGCAUCUUGGAACACUUCGAAUUUUCUUUUUUACAGAUCCAUAAAAUGCUUGUAACAAAUGUUCUUUGCAUGAAGAAAGGGAAUUAAUUUGUGUCUCGGUGAUGACUUAAAGUAAAUUCUUUAUAUAGGUGUUUUCCAGACUAAAAAAUAUAUUUUGUGUACAAUAGAUAUACUUCUGUACAUGUAAAUUACAUGUCACCUGACCAUUUUAAAUCAAUGUAAUUGUUGGUACAGUAAAAAUAGACUUGGAAAUCAAUGACCAGAUUCUGUUUUCCUACAAGACCUUUGUCCAGUGAUAUGAAAAGAUCAUGGCAUAUUGAUGUAUGUAAUGUAGUGAAUUUUUGUUGAAUAAAUUUUUUUUAUACAAAUG
rnacentral:misc_RNA from 1 species